UGGGGAAUAUUGGACAAUGGGGGCAACCCUGAUCCAGCCAUGCCGCGUGAGUGAUGAAGGCCUUAGGGUUGUAAAGCUCUUUUAUCCGGGAAGAUAAUGACUGUACCGGAAGAAUAAGCCCCGGCUAACUUCGUGCCAGCAGCCGCGGUAAUACGAAGGGGGCUAGCGUUGUUCGGAAUUACUGGGCGUAAAGCGCAUGUAGGCGGCGAUUCAAGUCGGGGGUGAAAUCCCAGAGCUCAACUCUGGAACUGCCUUCGAUACUGUAUCGCUAGAGUAUGGAAGAGGUUGGUGGAACUGCAAGUGUAGAGGUGAAAUUCGUAGAUAUUUGCAAGAACACCGGUGGCGAAGGCGGCCAACUGGUCCAUCACUGACGCUGAGAUGCGAAAGCGUGGGGAGCAAA
rnacentral:rRNA from 1 species